rnacentral:rRNA from 1 species
AUACGUAGGUGACAAGCGUUAUCCGGAUUUACUGGGCGUAAAGGGCGUGUAGGCGGUCUUGCAAGUCAGAAGUGAAAUUCCCGAGCUCAACUCGGGCGCUGCUUCUGAAACUGCAGGACUUGAGUGCUGGAGGGGAUAGCGGAAUUCCUAGUGGAGCGGUAAAAUGCGCAGAUAUUAGGAAGAACACCGGUGGCGAAGGUGGCUAUCUGGUCAGUAACUGACGCUGAGGCGCGAAAGCGUGGGGAGCAAACAGGAUGAGAUACCCUGUUAGUCCACGCCGUAAACGAUGAAUACUAGGUGUAGUGGGUAUCGACUCCCUCUGUGCCGCAGUUAACACAAUAAGUAUUCCGCCUGGGGAGUACGGCCGCAAGGUUGAAACUCAAAGGAAUUGACGGGG